rnacentral:tRNA from 1 species
GAGGGUAUAGUUCAGUGAUACAGCAUGUGCUUGGCAUGCACGAGGUCCUGGGUUCAAUACCCAGUACCUCCA